UACAGAGGGUGCAAGCGUUAAUCGGAAUUACUGGGCGUAAAGCGCGCGUAGGCGGUUAUUUAAGUCGGGUGUGAAAGCCCCGGGCUCAACCUGGGAAUUGCAUCCGAUACUGAGUAACUAGAGUAUGAGAGAGGGAGGUAGAAUUCCACGUGUAGCGGUGAAAUGCGUAGAUAUGUGGAGGAAUACCGGUGGCGAAGGCGGCCUCCUGGCUUAAUACUGACGCUGAGGUGCGAAAGCGUGGGGGAUCAAACAGG
rnacentral:rRNA from 1 species